AAGGUGUUAGGUGUUCCAGGUCAUCGGUGUGGUCGUUCAUGAUUCGAGGAGGGGCUUGCCUCUGAUCUUAACUGCGCUUGAGGUUUAGAGCAAUUCGAUUCGAUUGACGUUGGAGGUGACUCAACUUUUGGGUUAUAUAUGAACGAAACUGAAGGGAUCAACCUUGCGCCUCCUAUUAUCCAUUUAACACCUAUCAGACAUCGGAUAUGGAAAGCCUAUUGACCACAAGGAUGAAAUCUAGAAAGCUCCUGCUUUUGUUGAGAACAACAGAUCCUUCUUGCAUGAAUCAAGGAUCAGCAUAGUGCAUCAAGUUAGCAUAUUGAUGGAUAGUGACGCUUCCUAUAAGGUACUCUCUAUAAUUCAUACUUAGAAUUAAGCAGCAUGAUAAUUCUUUUCUGAUUAUUCUU